GCCGCCCGCGCCCCGGGUAGACCGGCCGCAGCCCCUUUAGAAGUGCGGGAGGCUUUGACUGCAGCCGAGCCCCAGAGAGGCCUCAUUCUGCCUGUCCUGAAUAGUCCGUCAUUCAAAGCAACGCUUUGAAAUUUGAAAAAGAGAGAGAGGAAAAGAGAGAGAGGAGAGACUGAAAAGCAGAGAGAGAGAAACAGAGACACACAGAGAGACAGGCAGAGACAGAAAGAGAGACAGAGACAGGGAGACAGAGACUGAGACUGAGACAGAAAGAUUCAGACAGAGACUGAGAGAGGCUGUGAGACAGAGACAAACAGUGAGAGAGCUAGAGAAAGAGAAGGAGAGCUUGGAGGAAGGGGAAAAAAAAGCAAAUUCUUUUCUUUGUGAGACUGGGGAGUGUUGGGCAAGGAGCCAGGGGGCUUCAAGAAUGUGAGCGAGGCACCAGGAAGGAGGGGAUCUCUGUGGAGACGCAGCUUCGGACGUGUGGCAUGCACUCUCCUCCUGGUCAUCCGGAGCAAGGGUCUUCAGAGCCCGAGAUGCGCGACGCGCAGGAAGCACCAGAGAGGGUGGCGGGAAGAAAAGGCACCUCCAUCACUUUGAAAUGUCAGAGCAACUUCCUGGAAGCAGCACGGUUGAAAGAGCCCUUGGCUGGAAGCCCAGCUGACUGGCUUUGUGAUCUUGGGCAAGUCACUUAACCUCCAGGAGCCACGGUGCCUUCAUCUGCAAAAUGAGGAGGUCAGAUGGGGUGUUGGCUCCACUCUCUUUUAGCGCUAAUGAUCCGGCUCCUUAAAGUCAAUUGCUUCCUCUGCUCCUAUCAAAGAAGUGAGGCAGAGAGAGGUGGGGAGGGGUUGCCUGCUCGGAUCAAAGUGUUGCCUCCCAGAGCCCUUGCCUUCAGCCUGUGGGAUUUUCUCAUCCUGCCUCUUAAAAACUAAAAGGAAGAGAAAUGUGACAAUUGAAGACCUUUGUGGAUUCUGG
rnacentral:lncRNA from 10 species